rnacentral:rRNA from 1 species
UCUGAAUCUGCGUACGGCUCCGCACACCAGUUGUAAACCAAAGCAAGCUAGUCCAUGGUCUGGCCCUCACGGGUUGGGCUGUGGACGAUACGGAUAACCCUGGUAAUUCUGAGGCUAAUACGAGACUGCAAUCCCUGGCUAACCGCAAGGAAGGCUGGGGGGCGUGUAAAGGUUUCGCGAGGAAUAACCGGGAAGGGGUACACGCUCUGACCACGACAAAGACAGUUCCGGCAAAUCUUCGGAUGAGUUGGUCCUGAGUGGCUCUUGCGAGGUGCUUCUGACCUAUCAACUAGAUGGCAGCGUAACGGACAUGCCAUGGU